rfam:Atopobium deltae strain DNF00019 genomic scaffold Scaffold61, whole genome shotgun sequence.
GAAGUGAGCUCGACGAUCGCGGAUGCGUGCCUGUAGAUAAGUAUAUAUCUGCCGCAGCCAUGCAUAUGAGGAAAGUCCGGGCUCCACAGGGCACGAUGCUGGCUAACGACCAGGCGGAGAAAUCCGACGGAAAGCGCCGCAGAAAAGAAGACUCCCACUGCCUGCGCGACACGCACAACUUGUCUAGGACAGGUCAACGUGGCAAGCGGGUAAGAGAAAAGCUGAAACGGUAGUGUAAGAGACUACCAGCGUCGUAGCAAUACGGCGGCUUGGCAAGCCCCAUCUGGAGCAAACGCAAAUAGGAGCGCGGCGAAGCUGCCCGCUGAGCGCUCGGGUUGCGCGCUAGAGCAUCGUGGUAACACGGAUGCGUAGAUAAAUGAUCGUCCACGACAGAACCCGGCUUAUAGGCUCACUUCGCAU